GGCUGCACUUAUGCUCCUCUUACUGACAUGGAAGCUAAAGCAAAAAGGAAAUUGUGCACCUGCUGAUAAUCCCCCCAAACUCCAAAGAAACAUUAUCAUAGACCUCAGAAGGCAAGAACAGCUGGAAAGGGGAAGGACAGUAAAGGAGUAGAUGUCAACUCAUAUAUGAAGCUGAGCAAAAUCAAGACCUUUGAAGCACAUAAAGGAGAAUAAAAGGUGACAAGGAACCAGAACAUUUUUCAGUAUUAAAAGUAUUAAAGCACAUGAUGAGGAACUAUUUUCUAGCAGAGUACAACCAUCGGAAUGCUUUUGUGGUAGAGAACUUUUUGUUUUGGUAAGUUUUAA